UGGGAAAGUCUGGUGAACAUGUUACUCCUGAGAUAGAUGGUCAAAGAUUGAAAUCCUACACCCAUUGGCUUGGGAGUAAGACUCACUAAAUCAACAGGUCCUGCUUCUGAUUAGACAUAGGAAGUCCAUGACAGCUCAAGGGAGUCUUAUUUAGUCCUGUGAAUAUGACCUGAAUUCUAGAGGUAAUCAAUAUAUGAAACUGAGAUGUCAUCUUCUGGCCCCGUUGUGGAUUUUGCACUACAGUUUUAAGAAAAAAACCAAGUUUUCCAUUCCUGCCACCUCUGAAGCAGGUCCCUGUCAUGACAUUUGGAGAGCAAGUGUGGCCCUCAGCCUACAAAAGAUCUCCUUUCAUUGUUCCACUAUGCUGGCUCUCCAGUCCAGGGGUAAAUGUGGAUCCCAGGAAACAUUUGCAAUGCUGUGAGGAGUGGAAAGAAGCAUGGAAACUAUGGGAAUUCCACAGGUGAACAAGCAAGCUGGGCAAGCGUGAGCUGGAAAUGGCUCAGAGGGAAAGGGGUUAUGCACCCUCUUCUGACAUUCCUGCCCUCUGCACUGACAGACAACCCAAAGAGAAAAUAAAGCAACAUCUUGGCUGAGCCAAAGAGAAAGAAAAUGCUAAUUCUGUGAUAUUACUACUUUAGAGGUUUUUAAAAAUUAUUAUCUCUUUUAGUUUGGCCUCAAUGAAGGCAACAUCUGAGCAGAGAGAACUGAAAUACCAUUAUAGUCACAGUGGUUAAAAUGAAUAGUCUUGGAGUAGAAUUACAAGGUGUGUUUGAGCCGUGUCUGUAGGCAACACUUGUA